UAGCAGGUGUUGGCUUUUCCCUCUUCAGUGCAUCUGGCCUGUGAUAAAGCUGCUGCCUCUCAAAGCAGGAGGGAAGGUGAAUGUUCAUGGCUUCCCAUGGCCUCUGAGAGUGAGAGGCUGAGUAUUAGCAACAGCUUUUGCAGUGAAGAAGCCUCUUUGAUAGUAGCUGGACUGAGCCCACCAAGUUACUCUUACAGUGUCCACUGCACGAGCUGCUGACAGCACCUGGUUACUGCUAACCUGUAGGAUUAGCAGGGACAAGAUCAUGCACACUCAAGGUUGGGGAAAUUUCUCUGUCAGCCUGGUAAGGGACAACCCUGCAGCCUGAAGGAAUCAGCUUCCAGGAGGAAAAAUGUCUGUUGUAUUCCUUACUGAAGGUAGCAGUGGGGAGCUACACAAGAAACGAGUUACUUCCCAUAUACUUUGGACUCUUCUGCUAGGACCAUGAUUCAACCUACUUCAACUUUCCUGAAAUGGAUAGAAGGCAAUGCAAAAGACUCCUUGGAUUUACUUGUUAUUACUUCACAGCAGCAGGCAUCGUUUGUGAGAUGCUUCCCAAUUAGAAG